rnacentral:rRNA from 1 species
UACAGAGGUGGCAAGCGUUGUUCGGAUUUACUGGGCGUAAAGGGCGCGUAGGCGGUUUCGUAUGUCGAAUGUGAAAUCUCACUGCUCAACGGUGAAACUGCAUUCGAAACUACGGGACUAGAGUACAGGAGAGGAGAGCGGAAUUCUUGGUGUAGCAGUGAAAUGCGUUGAUAUCAAGAGGAACACCGGUGGCGAAGGCGGCUCUCUGGAAUGUAACUGACGCUGAGGCACGAAAGUUGGGGGAG